rnacentral:rRNA from 1 species
CCUGGCUCAGGACGAACGCUGGCGGCAUGCCUAACACAUGCAAGUCGAACGGAGUUGUUAUUCAGAAGUUCUUCGGGAUGGAAGGAUAAGAACUUAGUGGCGGACGGGUGAGUAACGCGUGGGUAACCUGCCCUUUUGUGGGGAACAACUUCGAGAAAUCGGAGCUAAUACCGCAUAAUAAUAGAGGAUCGCAUGAUUCUUUAAGGAAAGAUGGCCUCUGAAGAUGCUAUCGCAAAAGGAUGGACCCGCGUCUGAUUAGCUAGUUGGAAGGGUAACGGCCUACCAAGGCAACGAUCAGUAGCCGGCCUGAGAGGGUGAACGGCCACAUUGGGACUGAGACACGGCCCAAACUCCUACGGGAGGCAGCAGUGGGGAAUCUUCCGCAAUGGGCGAAAGCCUGACGGAGCAAUGCCGCGUGAGUGAAGAAGGCCUUCGGGUUGUAAAACUCUGUCCUUAUCGAAGAGAGGUAGGUAUGUGAAUAAUGUACCUAUAGGACGGUAGAUAAGGAGGAAGCCCCGGCUAACUACGUGCCAGCAGCCGCGGUAAUACGUAGGGGGCGAGCGUUGUCCGGAAUCACUGGGCGUAAAGGGCGCGUAGGCGGUUUAAUAAGUCAGUGGUGAAAACUGAGGGCUCAACCCUCAGCCUGCCACUGAUACUGUUAGACUUGAGUAUGGAAGAGGAGAAUGGAAUUCCUAGUGUAGCGGUGAAAUGCGUAGAUAUUAGGAGGAACACCAGUGGCGAAGGCGAUUCUCUGGGCCAAGACUGACGCUGAGGCGCGAAAGCGUGGGGAGCAAACAGGAUUAGAUACCCUGGUAGUCCACGCCGUAAACGAUGGAUACUUAGGUGUUUAGUAGUUUCGAUGCUACUAGUGGCCGGAGUAAACCCCAAUAAGUAUCCCGCCUGGGGAGUACGGUUCGCAAGACUGAAACUCAAAGGAAUUGACGGGGGCCCGCACAAGCGGGUGAGCCAUGUGGUUUAAUUCGACGCAACGCGAAGAACCUUACCAAGACUUGACAUCCUCCUGACAAGAUAUGUAAUGUAUCUCUUUUCUUCGGAGACAGGAGAGACAGGUGGUGCAUGGUUGUCGUCAGCUCGUGUCGUGAGAUGUUGGGUUAAGUCCCGCAACGAGCGCAACCCUUAUUUCUAGUUGCCAGCAGUAAGAUGGGGACUCUAGAGAGACUGCCAGUGACAAACUGGAGGAAGGUGGGGAUGACGUCAAAUCAUCAUGCCCCUUAUGUCUUGGGCUACACACGUGCUACAAUGGUCAGAACAGAGGGAAGCGAAGCCGCGAGGUGGAGCAAAUCCCAGGAAACUGAUCUCAGUUCGGAUUGCAGGCUGCAACCCGCCUGCAUGAAGUCGGAAUCGCUAGUAAUCGCGGGUCAGCAUACCGCGGUGAAUACGUUCCCGGGCCUUGCACACACCGCCCGUCA